rfam:Dipodomys ordii contig_55017, whole genome shotgun sequence.
GGGAAGGUGGCUCAGUGGUAGAGCGCUUGCCUUGCAUGCUUGAGGCCCUGGGUUCGAUUCCUCAGGCAGUCCA